CUGGAAUCUGCUAUUCCGGGGCUGCUGAGGCAACAUUUUUGCUUUCAUUUGUUGUUCAGUUGCUUGCUUUACUUCUUUGAGUCUUUCUCUGUCUUUCUCGGACAGAUAUUCUAAAACAGAAGGAGCUGGACCUUUUAGAACAGUCUCUCCUAGUUGUUCCCUCCUCUGAGAUGCGUUCAGUGCAUGCCUGCCUUGUGCAGUGUCACUCCCCAGUUUUCCA
rnacentral:lncRNA from 1 species